GCCGGGAUAGCUCAGCUGGGAGAGCGACAGACUGAAGUUCUGCAGGUCCCGUGUUCAAUCCACGGUCCUGGCA
rnacentral:tRNA from 1 species